rnacentral:rRNA from 1 species
GGGUUGUGAGGUUAAGCGACUAAGCGUACACGGUGGAUGCCCUGGCAGUCAGAGGCGAUGAAGGGCGUGCUAAUCUGCGAUAAGCGCCGGUAAGGUGAUAUGAACCGUUAUAACCGGCGAUACCCGAAUGGGGAAACCCAGUGUGAUUCGUCACACUAUCAUUAACUGAAUCCAUAGGUUAAUGAGGCGAACCGGGGGAACUGAAACAUCUAAGUACCCCGAGGAAAAGAAAUCAACCGAGAUUCCCCCAGUAGCGGCGAGCGAACGGGGAGGAGCCCAGAGCCUGAAUCAGCAUGUGUGUUAGUGGAAGCGUCUGGAAAGGCGCGCGAUACAGGGUGACAGCCCCGUACACAAAAGCGCAUGUGCUGUGAGCUCGAUGAGUAGGGCGGGACACGUGGUAUCCUGUCUGAAUAUGGGGGGACCAUCCUCCAAGGCUAAAUACUCCUGACUGACCGAUAGUGAACCAGUACCGUGAGGGAAAGGCGAAAAGAACCCCGGCGAGGGGAGUGAAAAAGAACCUGAAAUCGUGUACGUACAAGCAGUGGGAGCACAGGUUUACCUGUGUGACUGCGUACCUUUUGUAUAAUGGGUCAGCGACUUAUAUUCUGUAGCAAGGUUAACCGAAUAGGGGAGCCGGAGGGAAACCGAGUCUUAAUUGGGCGUUAAGUUGCAGGGUAUAGACCCGAAACCCGGUGAUCUAGCCAUGGGCAGGUUGAAGGUUGGGUAACACUAACUGGAGGACCGAACCGACUAAUGUUGAAAAAUUAGCGGAUGACCUGUGGCUGGGGGUGAAAGGCCAAUCAAACCGGGAGAUAGCUGGUUCUCCCCGAAAGCUAUUUAGGUAGCGCCUCGUGAAUUCAUCUCCGGGGGUAGAGCACUGUUUCGGCUAGGGGGCCAUCCCGGCUUACCAACCCGAUGCAAACUGCGAAUACCGGAGAAUGUUAUCACGGGAGACACACGGCGGGUGCUAACGUCCGUCGUGAAGAGGGAAACAACCCAGACCGCCAGCUAAGGUCCCAAAGUCAUGGUUAAGUGGGAAACGAUGUGGGAAGGCCCAGACAGCCAGGAUGUUGGCUUAGAAGCAGCCAUCAUUUAAAGAAAGCGUAAUAGCUCACUGGUCGAGUCGGCCUGCGCGGAAGAUGUAACGGGGCUAAACCAUGCACCGAAGCUGCGGCAGCGAACGUAUCACUUAAAGCGAUUCAGCGGGUUACGAUUG